rnacentral:rRNA from 1 species
UACGUAGGCAGCAAGCGUUGUUCGGAAUUACUGGGCGUAAAGGGUGCGUAGGCGGGUCUUUUAAGUCAGGGGUGAAAUCCUGGAGCUCAACUCCAGAACUGCCUUCGAUACUGGCGAUCUUGAGUCCGGAAGAGGUGAGUGGAACUCCUAGUGUAGAGGUGGAAUUCGUAGAUAUUAGGAAGAACACCAGUGGCGAAGGCGGCUCACUGGUCCGGUACUGACGCUGAGGUGCGAAAGCGUGGGGGAGCAAACAGG